rnacentral:rRNA from 1 species
ACUCCUACGGGAGGCAGCAGUAAGGAAUAUUGCGCAAUGGGCGAAAGCCUGCCCUNNAANANGCCGCGUGGGGGAUGAAGGUCUUCGGAUUGUAAACCCCUUUCGGGAGGGAAGAUGGAGCGAGCAAUCGUUCGGACGGUACCUCCAGAAGCAGCCACGGCCAACUUCGUGCCAGCAGCCGCGGUAAUACGAAGGUGGCGAGCGUUGUUCGGAUUCACUGGGCGUACAAGGUGUGUAGGCGGUUUGGUAAGCCUUCUGUUAAAGCUUCGGGCCCAACCCGGAAAGCGCAGAGGGUACUGCCAGGCUAGAGGGUGGGAGAGGAGCGCGGAAUUCCCG